CCUACGGGGGGCAGCAGUGGGGAAUAUUGGGCAAUGGGCGCAAGCCUGACCCUGCAACGCCGCGUGAAGGAAGAAGGCUUUCGGGUUGUAAACUUCUUUUCUCAGGGACGAAGCAAGUGACGGUACCUGAGGAAUAAGCCACGGCUAACUACGUGCCAGCAGCCGCGGUAAUACGUAGGAGGCAAGCGUUAUCCGGAUUUACUGGGGGUAAAGGGCGUGGAGGCGGGAAAGCAAGAAAGAUGGGAAAGCACGGGGCUCAACCCCGGG
rnacentral:rRNA from 1 species